rnacentral:rRNA from 1 species
GAUUAACGCUGGCGGCGUGCAUAACACAUGCAAGUCGAACGAAGUUGCGGACGGGUGAGUAACGCGUGAGUAACCUGCCUUAGAGAUGGGGAUAGCCUCUGGAAACGGAGAAUAAUACCCAAUGCUCUAAGAUGGACUUGCGUCUGAUUAGCUAGUUGGUGAGAUAAUGGCUCACCAAGGCAACGAUCAGUAGCCGGCUUGAGAGAGUGUCCGGCCACAGUGGGACGGAGACACGGGCCAGACUCUACGGGAGGCAGCAGUGGGGAAUGUGGCACAAGGGGGGAAACCCUGAUGCAGCGACGCCGUGUGAUUUAGAAGGCCUUCGGGUUGUAAAAAUCGUUUGUAUAGGAAGCAGUACUAUACGAAUAAGGACCGGCUAAUUACGUGCCAGCCGCCGCGGUAAUAC